rnacentral:rRNA from 1 species
AUGGUUCCAGCACAGCUGAUUGGGAUCAAAUUCAGUUUACUGACUGCUCUGAUCAGCUUGACAUUGUGUUGCACUUGGAUUGUGGUAGAUCAGGAACUAAUUUUUGCAUCUGAGCUACGGUGUUGCUGCUGCCGUAUUUUUGAUAGGUCAGGCUGGGAACAGCAUUGUUACCGCGAGUGUAUUAUCUGUAUAUCUGACAGACGGAAAAACAACUAUAUUAUUUCUGUUCAGAGUUCAGAAGAUCUAUCAUUUGUCAACACAGGCUUCUGGCUUCCUAAGAUUGGAGCAUGCCAUAUCAAUUGUGGUUCGUCCAUCAUUUGUUGA